GCAGUCGAACGGCAGCACAGGAGAGCUUGCUCUCUGGGUGGCGAGUGGCGGACGGGUGAGGAAUACAUCGGAAUCUACCUUUUCGUGGGGGAUAACGUAGGGAAACUUACGCUAAUACCGCAUACGACCUACGGGUGAAAGUGGGGGACCGCAAGGCCUCACGCGAUUAGAUGAGCCGAUGUCCGAUUAGCUAGUUGGCGGGGUAAUGGCCCACCAAGGCGACGAUCGGUAGCUGGUCUGAGAGGAUGAUCAGCCACACUGGAACUGAGACACGGUCCAGACUCCUACGGGAGGCAGCAGUGGGGAAUAUUGGACAAUGGGCGCAAGCCUGAUCCAGCCAUACCGCGUGGGUGAAGAAGGCCUUCGGGUUGUAAAGCCCUUUUGUUGGGAAAGAAAUCCUGUCGAUUAAUACUCGGUGGGGAUGACGGUACCCAAAGAAUAAGCACCGGCUAACUUCGUGCCAGCAGCCGCGGUAAUACGAAGGGUGCAAGCGUUACUCGGAAUUACUGGGCGUAAAGCGUGCGUAGGUGGUGGUUUAAGUCUGCUGUGAAAGCCCUGGGCUCAACCUGGGAAUUGCAGUGGAUACUGGAUCACUAGAGUGUGGUAGAGGGAUGCGGAAUUUCUGGUGUAGCAGUGAAAUGCGUAGAGAUCAGAAGGAACAUCCGUGGCGAAGGCGGCAUCCUGGGCCAACACUGACACUGAGGCACGAAAGCGUGGGGAGCAAACAGGA
rnacentral:rRNA from 1 species